UCAGUUUAAGGCUUUAAUGUUCUACUAAUCCAAGUGAAAGCCAGUGAGCCACACCCUGGCACUGGUGGCCUGCUGGAAAGCAGCCUGCGUCGCUCUUUAACAAGGCGGCAAGUGAAACACUUUCACUUUCCUUUGGCAGAACCUGCCUCAGUCACAGAAGUGAGAGACCACACAGGCUUCAUACUGUAACAUAGGGAUGCAAGGACAGAGGUUUUGUUAAACCAACGAAGGGUCGCCAUUACCUCAUGUGUACACAGUUUCCAGAAGAAGAGGAGGCCUCGCCACCAAACCCGAGCGAGGGCUGCAGCAGCUGGUCGGCUGAGGAUUCCUCAAGCAUCUCACAAAAAAGGAGAAUGAAGCGCUGCCCGUUGUGCAGAGUGCGCUGUGCCAGUCGCUCAGAGCUCCUCAGGAGUGCGCACGGUGUCACGGAUCAGAAAGAGCGCAUACUCGUGCUGGGAAAGGCUUCAGGAAGAGUACCUGAUAGCAAAGUUCAACAGUAACUUGAGGUCCAGGCCGAGCAGGAGGGAUAAACGCCAACUUAAGAAGGCUGUUUUGUACAUCACAUGUGGGGGAUGAAAAGCCCCCCCCCUCUCAUGUUUUUAAAGACAGGGAAGGUCUUAAGGUAAAUGUUGUUGUCUGGUAACUGCUGACAUCAGUGUGACACUCAUCCGUAGGCCUUUUCUAUUGGUUAGGUGGAUAGCAAAGAAGAGGCAGAGCCCGGCAGAACCCAGAAGGGGCCACCUGGUAGCCAUCAGGAGGUUCUUGGUGUUCCUGAGGAGGGAGGACUUCUCCCAGGUGAUGAGGCCAUAUGAAGGUCUGUCUGCAACAUGAGGUCCAGUUCCUGUGUUCCUUCCUCAAGUCCGUCUGUCUGCAGCACAGGUGAUGUCGCUGGACAGGGUGCUGAAAAGGGAACUCUCCAGCCUCCCAAAGCAGACCGGGACCCGCCCCCAGGGGGAGGUCCAGUCUGGUCUUUCAGAAGAUGGGAAGAGAAAAGGGCCAAAAACCACCGCAGCCACAGAUGCUAAUCCGUGGAGAGGACUCAAACAAAACUGAAGUCACACCAGAGGCGUGCGCGACCUCAGAGGAGACGGACGACAGAUGAAGAGGACCAAAAAGUUGGAAGCACCGAUGCACAGCAUAACUUAGCAUCUCACUGUGUGGGGGGGGAACUUCUUACCUCAUCUUUUUUACUCCUCUGAAGAAGUUGCUGAGGCUAAGCCGCCCCACUUUCUCCACCCACUAAUAUUACACUGCAGACUUACUGCCAAAAUGUUUCACACAGCCUCUAUCAGACUUUGUAUAAAACUUAUACACCGUCAAACAUCGCUUUAGCUUACUUCAUUUCAUGUUUUCUUAUUGCAGGACAGUGGUUGUUGCCUGCCCAAAGCCAACUAGGAGGAGGGUUUUAAGGAACCCCGACGAUCUCAAGGCAGAUAUCCGGAGAGUCUGCCGUGAUGUGUGGAGUGAAAUGAUCACCGUUGGAAUGAUGAAUGCCGUUCUCAGCAGACGGCCAGCACUUUGGCAGAAAUACCACAAACUCAAGUUAACCAUACACAACUAACGAGCUCUGGUCCUCAAAUUGCAGGCAGAGUGAUUUUUUAAUUAUUUUUUAUUUUGUUAGAGCAUUUUUUAAGCUGUUUUAUUUAUUGCAGGG